GAGGGGCGGAGCGAGAAAGAGAGACUUGUCAACUUCGGAAAAUCUCGGUUCAGUUUUGAACCGAGAUUUUCCGAAGUUGACAAGUCCCUCUUUCUCGCUCCGCCUCUCC
rnacentral:miRNA from 1 species